GAUUGAAAGCUGGCGUCUUCGGCGUCCGCAUUGUAAUCUCAAGAAGUGUUUUCCGCUUCGGACCAAGCCUAAGUCCCCUGGAAAGGGGCAUCAUAGAGGGUGAUAAUCCCGUACAUGGCUUGGAGCGCCCGAGGCUUUGUGAUACGCUUUCUAAGAGUCGAGUUGUUUGGGAAUGCAGCUCAAAAUGGGUGGUAAAUGCCAUCUAAGGCUAAAUAUUGGGGAGAGACCGAUAGCGAACAAGUACAGUGAUGGAAAGAUGAAAAGAACUUUGAAAAGAGAGUUAAACAGUACGUGAAAUUGCCAAAAGGGAAGGGUAGGAGGUCAGAGAUGCGGCCUGGGAUUCAGCCUUGCUUUUGCUUGGUGUUUUUCCCAGAUUGCAGGCCAACGUCGGUUUUGGGCACUGGAGAAGGGUAGGAGGAACGUGGCACCCCUCGGGGUGUGUUAUAGCCUCCUACUGGAUACAGCGACCGAGACCGAGGACAGCAGCGUACUCGCAAGAGCGGGCCUUCGGGCACCUUUACGCUUAGGGCGUUGGCAUAAUGGCCCUCUACCACCCGUCUU
rnacentral:rRNA from 1 species